GACGAACGCUGGCGGCGUGCUUAACACAUGCAAGUCGAACGAAAAGAGGGAAAGAGCCUGCUCUUUCCGGAAUUGAGUGGCAAACGGGUGAGUAACACGUAAACAACCUGCCUUCAGGAUGGGGACAACAGACGGAAACGACUGCUAAUACCGAAUAAGUUCCAAGAGCCGCAUGGCCCAUGGAAGAAAAGGUGGCCUCUACCUGUAAGCUAUCGCCUGAAGAGGGGUUUGCGUCUGAUUAGCUGGUUGGAGGGGUAACGGCCCACCAAGGCGACGAUCAGUAGCCGGUCUGGGAGGAUGAACGGCCACACUGGAACUGAGACCCGGUCCAGACUCCUACGGGAGGCAGCAGUGGGGAAUCUUCCGCAAUGGGCGAAAGCCUGACGGAGCAACGCCGCGUGAGUGAUGACGGCCUUCGGGUUGUAAAACUCUGUGAUCCGGGACGAAAAGGCAGAGUGCGAAGAACAAACUGCAUUGACGGUACCGGAAAAGCAAGCCACGGCUAACUACGUG
rnacentral:rRNA from 1 species